rnacentral:RNase_P_RNA from 1 species
AAAGCGGGCCAGGCAAUCGCGGCCUCGACGGUUUCGGCCGAAAAGGGCGAGGAAAGUCCGGACUCCACAGGGCAGGGUGAUGGCUAACGGCCAUCCGUGGCAACACGCGGAACAGGGCAACAGAAAGCAAACCGCCGAUGGCUCCGGGCGCAAGUCAGGAGAUCAGGUAAGGGUGAAACGGUGCGGUAAGAGCGCACCGCGGACGUCGCGAGACGAUCCGGCACGGUAACCUCCACCCGGAGCAAUUCCAAAUAGGCAGGCGCGCAUCCACGCGAUGCAUGACGGGGCCCCCGUCCGUCUGCGGGUAGGAAGCUUGAGCGCGUCAGCAAUGGCGCGUCUAGAGGAAUGAUUGCCACGCGCGUUCGGCUUCGGUCGGCGCGUGCACAGAAUCCGGCUUAUCGGCCCGCUUUGUCG